GACGAACGCUGGCGGCGUGCUUAACACAUGCAAGUCGAGCGGUAAGGCCCUUUCGGGGGUACGACGAGCGGCGAACGGGUGAGUAACACGUGGGUGACCUGCCCUCAGCUCUGGGAUAAGCCUGGGAAACCGGGUCUAAUACUGGAUAUGACUCCAUGACGCAUGUUGGUGGGGUGGAAAGCCUUGUGCGGCUGAGGAUGGGCCCGCGGCCUAUCAGCUUGUUGGUGGGGUGAGGCCUACCAAGGCGACGACGGGUAGCCGGCCUGAGAGGGCGACCGGCCACACUGGGACUGAGACACGGCCCAGACUCCUACGGGAGGCAGCAGUGGGGAAUCUUGCGCAAUGGGCGAAAGCCUGACGCAGCGACGCCGCGUGAGGGAUGACGGCCUGGUUGUAACGUACUUC
rnacentral:rRNA from 1 species